rnacentral:misc_RNA from 1 species
GGUGUAUAAGACAGUUGAAUUUUGUGUCUUUAGGUUGGUUUUAGAAAGACCAAGGUGUGAGUGGGAGGAGAUUAACAGUUUGGGCGAGACAAUGUUGUUUUUAGGAGAAAAUUCUUCGUUGGCAUUGUUGGCUUCUGAUUUUCCUGGAUGUGGAGGAAACAGGAUUUACUUUACUGAUGAUUAUUGUGAGGCUAACUAUGAUGGUGUCGAUGGAAAUCAUGAUUUAGGAUAUUACAAUUUAGCGGAUGGUAGUAUUGAAGCGUUGUCCUGCUGUCCUCGCAGUUCACAUUCUAUGCUUCGUUGGCCUCCUCCAAUUUGGUUCACUCCAAAUCCAUGUUGAAAAUUGGACCUUGGUGGAUUCCUCCAUUGACGGGGUUUGUGAAUAUGUUUUUCUGGCCAGAGUUCAAUUUGAUGGAUGAAUUAAUUUGUAUAUGAGACGCAAAUUAUCAAUUAGUGGUGUGCUGUAAGUAAACAUGUACCUACAUUUCUUGAUGCUAUCUGGGUGACCGCGACAUUCCUAU